ensembl:lncRNA
UCAAGGUCUGUUGUCUAUACAGUAGAUACGGUGCCUGGAGAAGUCACAUGACGGUGUCAAGGUCUGUUGUCUAUACAGUAGAUACGGUGCCUGGAGAAGUCACAUGACGGUGUCAAGGUCUGUUGUCUAUACAGUAGAUACGGUGCCUGGAGAAGUCACAUGACGGUAUCAAGGUCUGUUGUCUAUACAGUAGAUACGGUGCCUGGAGAAGUCACAUGACGGUGUCAAGGUCUGUUGUCUAUACAGUAGAUACGGUGCCUGGAGAAGUCACAUGACGGUGUCAAGGUCUGUUGUCUAUACAGUAGAUACGAUGCCUGUAGAAGUCACAUGACUGUAGUCAAGGUCUGUUGUCUAUACAGUAGAUACGGUGCCUGUAGAAGUCACAUGACUGUAGUCAAGGUCUGUUGCUAUAACUGUUUGUGUGUAUCAUCAUCCAUCUGCCAGUUAUACUGAGGCUAUUACUCUGUUCUAUCUGUAACUAAGAUUGUCUUAUUAGUCAGAUGGUGAACAUGGAAAGAAUGUUCCAAGAAUGUUCCUGUCUCCUGUCCAGAGUACUCCUCUUCUCCAUCUCCUCUCCCAGCUAUCCUCUAGAUGUUGCCUGGAGAAGGAUGCAGUUAGGAGUGGUGCUUCCUGAAUCUGACAAAUGUCGUUAAGUGGCGCCAUUUACCCCUUCCUCUACAAACACAGGGCUCUUAUUUAAAAAAAAGUAUAUACCCCUGCACAUAUCAUCUAAUGUAUUACAAUCUGAAAGGCAAAAGGACCCUGUUUGAAUACUUAGAAAAAUCGCUUGGCAAUAGGAGUUUUGUGGAGUGUGGGUAUUAUUGAGUCGUGCCUUGCAGUCAUGAGUGAACAUGGUUGGUCCUCAAGGAGACUACAGCAUACCAGGCCUGCUUUUCACAGUUCACCCUGCUGUACCGUGGCAGUGGAAUUACUCCAGCACCUGAUACUCCGUCAUUAUUUACUAGACAACCUCCUCACAGAGUAAGACUGUUGAGUUACUAUGUUCUACUCCAUACAAUGAGGGCUUGUGUGUCUGAUGAUGUCAUUCCCGAGCCUGUGUGUAUGUCUCUGUCUGUAUUAACCAGCCAAACAGACUGGCACUGGCAGAAUAACCUGUUCCAAACAUCUCUAACUGAUUUUUAUCUUUUAUUAUCAUGUAAUUAACAUAUUACAAUGUAAUUGAUAAAUACGUUCCUGCUAAGCACUGUAAAAUAAAGCAUAACUUUGUCUUCCCACUUGUCUCCCUCUACAGUACCCUGACCAAGACUCUUGUAUACAGUCAGUAUGGGGUGAAGAAGGGUCUGUACAGAGGCCUGUCUCUCAACUACAUCUACUGUGUGUCCUCACAGGCUGUGGCCUUUAUCACCUAUGGGGUGAAGAAGGGUCUGUACAGAGGCCUGUCUCUCAACUACAUCUGCUGUGUGUCCUCACAGGCUGUGGCCUUUAUCACCUAUGGGGUGAAGAAGCAAACCAUCCACCUCAACUAGCUGCUCCCUCACCAUCCAUCUCUACCCUUCAUCGUUGCAUAGCGGGACUGAGGCACGUUCACUGUGGAUAAACGUUCUGAAAGGUUUAGGAAGAUCCCUAGCAGCUGUCUAUCUCAAAACAGCCCGAACAAGAGCGUUCUCUGGGGCUAUAUGUUCUGAAAUGUUAAGGGAAUAUUGCCUAUUAGAUAUGUCAAUUUGCCCUAGUAAACGUUUUCAGUUUUAAGGAAGUCGGCUUCCUUUCGGAGGAGUUGACCCCUGCUACCAGAGGCGGCCAUUGUGGCUCAGCCACCCGAGCAGAGCCUAGUAGCUGCUUACCCCAGUCGGAAAGCAGAGGAAUGUUAGGCGCUGGGCCCCAUGGCAGUGCUAAUCCAGUGCCCAUGUCUGUGUCUGCGCCUAUAAUGUUGUGCUGAAACCAUCCGCCAAACCUGUGGCUUGGCUUUGGACAACACCCCGGCAACUAUUGCCAUGGCUACCUAUAGACAAUGGCUUCCUCUGCUUCGAUGGGCAGCUAUGGGCAAUGAACCCCUAACAACACUCGUUGGUAAUGCCAUGGAAACCCAAUUAUGUACACUGCUCCCCCAUCCUACCCCACCACCCGCCCCUAAGAAGUCACCCAGCCAAUGACGGAGGGGAAAGUCACACCGGACAAUCUGGCUUAUCCAAUCGGAGGCCUUCUUUUCCUCAUGUACCUACUGUUGUGAGUACAAAUCUAGACACAUAAUCAACGAGACAAGGAUUUAAAUGUGUAGUAUGUCAGUUAUAAGAGUCCAGAUUCAACUAUCAAACAUUUGAUGAGAAUAAAGAAACACUCCCCAAGCUUGUGUUGAACACAGAACUGUACUUUUUAAGCAGCCUAAGUCUAAUAGAAUCCUAAUGAUAAAAUCCCACAUCAGUUUGUUCAAAACUGAACAUAAUUGAUUUUUUAUUGUGAUACUCCCCCAAAAAGUCUUAUUUUCUGUCUGACAUCGAAACAGGUUUGCUUUCUAAUUUGUUCACCCCAUGCAGUUUAACAUAUGUGUCUCUGUAGGAGUGUGGUGUGUGUGUGUGUGUGUGUGUGUGUGUGUGUGUGUGUGUGUGUGUGUGUGUGUGUGUGUGUGUAUGUGUGUGUGUGUGUGUCCGUGUGUGUGUGUGUUGUGUGUGUGUGUGUGUGAAAGCAUCCGUUCAGCUUUCAGUGUGUAGUGUGUCUCUUGUUUAUGGUGCAGGUUAGAUUCAGGGAAUGAGGCCGUGAUUUACUAUUCUACUGAGAUCUAGACACUAGCAUAAAUAAAUACAUGUAAGAUGGUGCUAUAUCAUUUGAAGCACCCAAAUGGAAACCUGAGUUAAGCACUUCAGGAAGAAACUUGCACUUGGAGACGUGGAUGUCUAUUAAGGCAGCCCCCCGCACCUCUCUGAUUCAGAGGGGUUGGGUUGAAUUCGGAAGACCCAUAUCAGUUGAAUGCAUUCAGUUGUACAACCUGCUAGUUAUCCCCCUUUCCUUUGGCUCUUUUGUGUUUAUUUAUGAUAGUGUAGUAUGACUCUGUCCACAUGGGGUCAGAAACGAGUCCGUAAUAUGUUUACCCACAACAACAGCCUGCCCUGGAUGUAACUGGACUUUACAUUACCAUGCCGAAUCAAAAUCAAAUAAUAUAUUGAUCACAUGCGCCGAAUACAAUAGGUGUAGGCCGUACCGUUAAAUGCUUACUUACAAGCCCUUAACCAAUAAUGCAGGGUUUUAACAAAGUAAGAGAAAAUGUGCUAAAUAAUCUAAAGGAUCGAUAGCCUCAUUAUUGUUAUUUUAUUGUGUUACUAUGUACAAAGCCUUCAUACCCACUACAGAGGUUUCUGUAAUCUUAUCAGUCCAUUGUUAUGAUGAUCCCCACACUGGAGUGCCUUAUGAAUAUGGGCCAUGUUCUUAUCUUGUUAAGCCAAAGGAUGUAAGGAAAUAAGAAGUCAUGAGAAUCAUAUGUACACUACCGGUCAAAGGUUUUACAACACCUACUCAUUCAAGGGUUUUUCUUUAUUUGUACUAUUUUCUACAUUGUAGAAUAAUAGUGAAGAUGUCAAAACUAUGAAAUAACCAAAUCAAAUUUUAUUUGUCUCAUGCGCCGAAUACAACUGCUGUAGACCUUACAGUGAAAUGCUUACUUACAAGCCCUAUACCAACAAUGCAGUUUUAAGAAAAUACAAAAAAAAUAGAUUAGAAUAACAAAUAAUUAAAGAGCAGCAGUAAAUAACAAUAGCGGGGCUUUAUACAGGGAGUACUGGUACAGAGUCAAUGUGGAGGCUAUAUACAGGGGGUACCGGUACAGAGUCAAUGUGGAGGCUAUAUACAGGGGGUACCGGUACAGAGUCUAUGUGGAGGCUAUAUACAGGGGGUACCGGUACAGAGUCUAUGUGGAGGCUAUAUACAGGGGGUACCGGUACAGAGUCUAUGUGCAGGAGCACCGGUGUCGAGGUAAUUGAGGUAAUAUGUAGGUAAGAGUUAUUAAGAGUAGCAGAAGUGUAGGGGGGGGGGCAAUGCAAAUAGUCUGGGUAACCAUUUGAUUAGCUGUUCAGGAGAAGCUGUUUAGAAGCCUCUUGGACCUAGACUUGGUGCUUUGGUACCGCUUGCCGUGCGAUAGCAGAGGGAACAGUCUGACGAGGGUGGCAGGAGUCUGACAAUUGUUAGGGCCUUCCUCUGACACCGCCUGGUAUAGAGGUCCUGGAUGGCAGGGAGCUUGGCCCCAGUGAUGUCCUGGGCCGUAUGCACUACCCUCUGUAGUGCCUUGCGGUCGGAGGCCGAGCGGUUGCCAUACCAGGCAGUGAUGCAACCAGUCAGGAUGCUUUCGAUGGUGCAGCUAUAGAACCUUUUGAGGAUCUGAGGACCCAUGCAAAUUCUUUUCAGUCUCCUGAGGGGGAAUAGGUUUUGCCGUGCCCUCUUCACGACUGUCUUGGUGUGUUUGGACCAUUCUAGUUUGUUGGUGAUGUGGACGCCAACGGACUUGAAGCUUUCAACCUGUUCCACUACAGCCCCGUCGAUGAGAUUGGGGGCAUGCUCAGUCCUCCUUUUCCUGUAGUCCACAAUCAUCUCCUUUUGUCUUGAUCACAUUGAGGGAGAGGUUUUUGUCCUUGCACCACAUGGUCAGGUCUCUGACCUCCUCCCUAUAGGCUGUCUCGUUGUUGUCGGUGAUCAGGCCUACCACUUGCUGUGUCAUCAGCAAUCUUAAUGAUGGUGUUGGAGUCGUGCCUGGCUGUGCAGUCAUGAGUGAACAUGGAGUACAGGAGUGGACUGAGCACGCACUCCUGAGGGGUCCCCGUGUUGAGGAUCAGCGUGGCGGAUGUGUUACCUACCCUUACCACCUGGGGGCGGCCGGAACAGCUGACGCUCUCAUGCAUGUUUCAGUGUUAUUUUGCUUGUCUGGUAGGCUCGUGUCACUGGGUAGUUCUCAGUGGAAUCAUGUAGCACACAUGGAAUCAUGUAGUAACCAAACAAGUGUAAACAAAUCCAAAUAUAUUUUAUAUUUGAGAUUCUUCAAAUAGCCACCCUUUGCCUUGAUGACAGCUUUGCACACUCUUGGCAUUCGCUCAACCAGCUUCAUGAGGUAGUCACCUGGAAUGCAUUUCAAUUAACAGGUGUGCCUUGUUAAUUUGUGGAAUUUCUUUCCUUCUUAAUGUGUUUGAGCCAAUCAGUUGUAUUGUGACAUGGUAGGUGCGGUAUAUAGAAGAAGGUAUGGACUUGGUCUUUUACCAAAUAGGGCUAUGGAAAGAACAGCUCAAAUAAGCAAAGAGAAAAAACUACAGUCCAUCAUUACUUUAAGACAUGGUCAGUCAAUACAGAACAUUUCAAGAACUUUAAAUGUUUCUUCAAGUGCAGUCGCAAAAACCAUCAAGCGCUAUGAUGAAACUGGCUCUCAUGAGGACCACCUCAGGAAUGUAAGACCCAGAGUUACCUCUGCUGCAGAAGAAAAGUUCAUUUGAGUUACAAGCCUCAGAAAUUGCAGCCCAAAUAAAUGCUUCACAGAGUACAAGUAACAGACACAUCUCAACAUCAACUGUUCAGAGGAGACUGUGAUUCAGGCCUUCAUGGUUGAAUUGCUGAAAGAAACCACUAGUAAAGGACACCAAUAAGAAGAAGAGACUUGCUUGGGCCAAGAAAUAUGAGCAUUGAACAUUAGACUGGUAUAAAUUUGUCCUUUGGUCUGGAGUCCAAAUUGGAGAUAUUUGGUUCAAGCAACACAGGACUUACAAGGCCAAGCAACACAGGACUUACAAGGCCAAGCAACACAGGACUUACAAGGCCAAGCAACACAGGACUUACAAGGCCAAGCAACACAGGACUUACAAGGCCAAGCAACACAGGACUUACAAGGCCAAGCAACACAGGACUUACAAGGCCAAGCAACACAGGACUUACAAGGCCAAGCAACACAGGACUUACAAGGCCAAGCAACACAGGACUUACAAGGCCAAGCAACACAGGACUUACAUGUAUGUUACAGGGCUAUAAAAAGAUGAGGCCAUACUCUCUUUGGAGCACUGAUGCUCUGUCCCAAUGCACAUCUCUCCUAAGGGAAUGUUUACCAAUGAUUUCUCCCAGCCCACCCAUGGCACGGUAGCUAAGCCCUUAGCCUUUACCUCUUAAGUCAAUCUCAUCGAUGCUCAGACUUUAUUCUCUAUGGUCUUUUGUACAAGAUGUGUUAUUUUGGCACUAGGAAACUUUAUGCAAUCGUUUUUUUAUUGAACCUUUAUUUAACUAGCAAGUUGGUUAAGGACAAAUUGUUAUUUACAAUUACGGCCUACCCCGGCCAAACCUGGACAACGCUGGGCCAAUUGUGCGCUACCCUAUGGGACUCCCAAUUACAGCCGGAUGUGAUACAGCCUGGAUUCAAACCAGGGAAUGUAGUGACACCUCUCUGCACUGAGAUGCAUUGCCUUAGACCGCUGCGCCCCUCGAGAGCCGUGUUUAGUCGACUGAAACCAGGGUUAUGUUCAGCAGUGUAAAUGUGGGAGAAAACAUUUUGUCAAAUGCAAAUGACAGAUUGAGGUAGCAUCUUUUCUGUUUCACAGCAUUUCAUCCCAUUGAGGUGCCUGCCUGCUGAAUGUGACCUUGUUCAAACAGUUUUGUGAAUCCUAUCAUGGGUUUAAGACAUGAUUGUCUCAGUUAAUGUAUGUACUUAGGGUGAGAUUGGUUGCAUUGAUAAGUGGAGCACCUGAGAUGUCUCCAUUGAAUGUAUUCAUGUGUUUAUUCUGUAGACCUAAACUAUGCUUUUGAAACGCUACGGGCCAAAAGUCCAUAAGAUCUAUGCUUGUAACUCAAAUGUUCAUGUAUAUCUUCAUUUACAUCAUUACUUGGUUCAGAGUUAGGGCCAAUUCCAUUUCAAUUCAGCCAAUUCAGGAAGUAAACUGAAAUCCCAAUCCCAAUU